rnacentral:rRNA from 1 species
UACGAAGGGGGCUAGCGUUGUUCGGAAUUACUGGGCGUAAAGCGCGCGCAGGCGGCUAUCCAAGUCAGUGGUGAAAGCCCGGAGCUCAACUCCGGAACUGCCAUUGAAACUGUUUAGCUUGAGGACGAGAGAGGUGAGUGGAAUUCCCAGUGUAGAGGUGAAAUUCGUAGAUAUUGGGAAGAACACCGGUGGCGAAGGCGGCUCACUGGCUCGUAUCUGACGCUCAGGCGCGACAGCGUGGGGGAUCAAAACAGG